rnacentral:rRNA from 1 species
GAUCCUGGCUCAGAAUCAACGCUGGCGGCGUGCCUAACACAUGCAAGUCGAACGCGAAAGGGGAGCAAUCCCUGAGUAGAGUGGCAAACGGGUGAGUAACACGUGGGUGACCUGCCUUCGAGUGGGGGAUAACGUCCCGAAAGGGACGCUAAUACCGCAUGACAUCCUGCUCUUGGACGAGCGGAGAUCAAAGCUGGGGAUCGCAAGACCUGGCGCUUGAAGAGGGGCCCGCGCCUGAUUAGCUAGUUGGUGGGGUAACGGCUCACCAAGGCAACGAUCAGUAUCCGGCCUGAGAGGGCGGACGGACACACUGGGACUGAGACACGGCCCAGACUCCUACGGGAGGCAGCAGUGGGGAAUUGUUCGCAAUGGGCGCAAGCCUGACGACGCAACGCCGCGUGGAGGACGAAGAUCUUCGGGUCGUAAACUCCUGUCGAGCGGGACGAACGCUUCGCGGAUUAAUAAUCCGCGGAAUUGACGGUACCGCUAAAGGAAGCCCCGGCUAACUCCGUGCCAGCAGCCGCGGUAAUACGGGGGGGGCAAGCGUUGUUCGGAAUUACUGGGCGUAAAGGGCUCGUAGGCGGCCAACUAAGUCGGACGUGAAAUCCCCAGGCUCAACCUGGGAACUGCGUCCGAUACUGAUUGGCUUGAAUCCGGGAGAGGGAUGCAGAAUUCCAGGUGUAGCGGUGA